UGGCGAACGGGUGAGUAACACGUGACCAACCUGCCUCUUACAUUGGGACAACCAAAAGAAAUUCUGGCUAAUACCAAAUACUCCGCACAUAUCACAUGAUGUAUGCGGGAAAGCUUUUGCGGUAAGAGAUGGGGUCGCGGCCCAUUAGGUAGACGGCGGGGUAGAAGCCCACCGUGCCGAUGAUGGGUAGCCGGGUUGAGAGACCGACCGGCCACAUUGGGACUGAGAUACGGCCCAGACUCCUACGGGAGGCAGCAGC
rnacentral:rRNA from 1 species